rnacentral:rRNA from 1 species
AUGGCAGGGAGACAGCGCAUAGUUCGCCAGUACUACGAGGAACCACGGGGAUUUCGUGAUGGUCCCCCUCCUCGACUUGCACGAGAAAGGUCUCUCUCACCACGACGCAUCGAGGGAGAGCUGUCUAGCCGCCGUGGUGAGAUACGCAGAAUCCAUGAUGAUAACCAACAUCUGGCGGAUGAAAUUGUUGGACUCAGGCAAGCAAUGUCUCGUUUGAAAGAAGAUCUCCAUUCCUCAAGUCAGGUUAUACCUAAGCUCCGCGCAGAGAAGGAACUUGAAUCGAGGGAGCUGACUCAGAGGAAUCUGAAGCUGGAAGCUGAGCUACGCUCCUUAGAACCCCUUAGGCAAGAUGCCUUGCAUCUACGAUCUGAAGUAGGUACGCUAGCGUCUUUGAGGCAAGAGCUGAACGCAAAGGUGCAGGGUCUGACAAAGGAGGUUGAGCAACAGAGCUCUGAAAACCAGCGAAUACCUGGCAUGAUAGCUGAACGUGAUGGUCUGCGGCAGGAACUAAUUCGUGCUAGGGCGGCUCUUGAUUAUGAGAAGAAUGCAAAGCCAGAGCGGAUGGCACAGGUGCAGGCAGUGGAAAAAGAUCUUGUGAGUAUGGCUCAGGAGUCCGAGAAGCUUAGGGCUGAGAUUGAGAAGAGAAGGGCACUACCUAGGGUCAGCGGCCAUGGAGCUUACGGGCCACCUAUGACGACUCCUGGGAUGGACUUGCAAGGCAUGUACGAUGGGGGCUAUAACUCCUACACAGAGAAGCGCUAUGGUGCUGGACCAUGGGACUCCCCUGGCUAUCCGCGCUUUUGA